rnacentral:misc_RNA from 1 species
UCGAUGAAGAACGCAGCAAAGCGCGAUAGGUAGUGUGAAUUGCAGAAUUCCGUGAAUCAUCGAAUUUUUGAACGCAUAUUGCGCCCUUGCCCUCGGGCUUGGGCAUGUCUGCCUCAGCGUCGUUUCUAAUGGUGUAAUGCUACAACCCUGCGUGGUCCUUGUAGUUGUGCAUGGGCUUAAGAUUUGAUAUGGUCGUGCUGCAGGGCACGGCAACAUACGGCAGUCCCCUGAAACUGUUCAUAGGCAAUAAGCUAUUCGUUAGCACGAGUUCCCUACGGACUGUUCAAGGACCAGAAAGGCUGGCCGUUAU